rnacentral:rRNA from 1 species
UACGUAGGUGGCAAGCGUUGUCCGGAUUUAUUGGGUUUAAAGGGUGCGUAGGUGGCCAUGUAAGUCAGUUGUGAAAUCCCCGGGCUCAACCCGGGAAGUGCUUCUGAUACUGGAUGGCUUGAGUUUGGGAGAGGGAUGCGGAAUUCCAGGUGUAGCGGUGAAAUGCGUAGAUAUCUGGAGGAACACCGGUGGCGAAGGCGGCAUCCUGGACCAACACUGACGCUGAGGAGCGAAAGCCAGGGGAGCAAACGGG